rfam:Candidatus Paracaedibacter acanthamoebae isolate PRA3, complete genome.
CUUGGUGGUCAUGGCGAAGGUUAAACACGCGAUCCCAUCCCGAACUCGACCGUUAAGUCCUUCUGCGGCAAUGAUACUCCGACUUAAGUCUGGGGAAAGUAGCUCGCUGCCAAGC